rnacentral:rRNA from 1 species
GAAUGCUGACAUAAGUAACGAUAAAGCGGGUGAAAAGCCCGCUCGCCGGAAGACCAAGGGUUCCUGUCCAACGUUAAUCGGGGCAGGGUGAGUCGACCCCUAAGGCGAGGCCGAAAGGCGUAGUCGAUGGGAAACGGGUUAAUAUUCCCGUACUUGGUGUUACUGCGAAGGGGGGACGGAGAAGGCUAUGUUGGCCGGGCGACGGUUGUCCCGGUUUAAGCGUGUAGGUGUGUGUUCCAGGUAAAUCCGGUUCACUUUAACACUGAGGCGUGACGACGAGGCACUACGGUGCUGAAGCAACAAAUGCCCUGCUUCCAGGAAAAGCCUCUAAGCAUCAGGUAACACGAAAUCGUACCCCAAACCGACACAGGUGGUCAGGUAGAGAAUACCAAGGCGCUUGAGAGAACUCGGGUGAAGGAACUAGGCAAAAUGGUGCCGUAACUUCGGGAGAAGGCACGCUGACACGUAGGUGAAGUGAU